GAUUGAUUUAGAGGGGAUGAUUGAAGGAAUGAGUAAUAAAAGUGAAAACUAAAAAUUGAAAUCUAUUUGAAAAUGUUUUCACUUUCAAGUUUUUGUUUUCCAUUUUGUAAUUCAUCCUUUCAAUCAUCUCUCUCAAUCUCAUCC
rnacentral:miRNA from 1 species